rnacentral:rRNA from 1 species
CCUACGGGUGGCAGCAGUGGGGGAUAUUGCACAAUGGGGGGAACCCUGAUGCAGCGACGCCGCGUGGGUGAAGGAGCGUUUCGGCGCGUAAAGCCCUAUCGGCAGGGAAGAUGGAGGCCGGUACCUGACUAUGAAGCCCCGGCGAACUACGAGCCAGCAGCCGGGGUAAUACGUAGGGGGCAAGCGUUAUCCGGAUUUACUGGGUGUAAAGGGGGCGCAGACGGCAGCGCAAGCCAGUAGUGAAAGCCCGGGGCCCAACCGCGGGACUGCUCUUGGAACUGCGAGGCUGGAGUGCAGGAGGGGCAGGCGGAAGUCGUGGUGGAGCGGUGAAAUGCGUAGAUAUCAGGAGGAACACCGGUGGCGAAGGCGGCCUGCUGGACUGCGACUGACGUUGAGGCCCGAAAGCGUGGGGAGCAAACAGGAUUAGAUACCCCAGUAGUC